rnacentral:rRNA from 1 species
GACGAACGCUGGCGGCGUGCUUAACACAUGCAAGUCGAACGGAAAGGCCCUGCUUUUGUGGGGUGCUCGAGUGGCGAACGGGUGAGUAACACGUGAGUAAACUGCCCUUGACUUUGGGAUAACUUCAGGAAACUGGGGCUCAUACCGGAUAGGAGCUCCUGCUGCAUGGUGGGGGUUGGAAAGUUUCGGCGGUUGGGGAUGGACUGGCGGGUUAUCAGCUUGUUGGUGAGGUAGUGGCUUACCAAGGCUUUGACGGGUAGCCGGCCUGAGAGGGUGACCGGCCACAUUGGGACUGAGAUACGGCCCAGACUCCUACGGGAGGCAGCAGUGGGGAAUAUUGCACAAUGGGCGGAAGCCUGAUGCAGCAACGCCGCGUGCGGGAUGACGGCCUUCGGGUUGUAAACCGCUUUCGCCUGUGACGAAGCGUGAGUGACGGUAAUGGGUAAAGAAGCACCGGCUAACUACGUG